UCCUCUUUCUCUCUCAGUUUGCCAGGCAGUAUAGCAGGAAUGAGCCCCUGACCUUUGCAUGGUUACGCCGAUACAUCAAAUGGCCUUUACUUCCACCUAAGAAUAUUAAAGACCUCAUGGAUCUUGAAGCUGUCCACGAUGUCUUGGAUCUUUACCUGUGGCUAAGCUACCGAUUUAUGGAUAUGUUUCCAGAUGCCAGCCUUAUUCGAGAUCUCCAGAAAGAACUAGAUGGUAUUAUCCAAGAUGGUGUACACAAUAUCACUAAAUUGAUUAAAAUGUCUGAGACGCAUAAGCUGUUGAAUUUGGAGGGCUUUCCAUCAGGGAGCCAGUCACGAUUGUCAGGAACCUUAAAGAGCCAAGCGAGAAGGACACGCGGCACCAAAGCUCUAGGGAGUAAAGCUACUGAGCCACCCAGCCCCGAUGCAGGAGAGCUGUCCCUUGCUUCCAGAUUGGUGCAGCAAGGACUCCUCACUCCAGACAUGCUGAAACAGCUAGAAAAAGAGUGGAUGACACAACAAACUGAACACAACAAAGAAAAAACAGAGUCUGGGACUCAUCCAAAAGGGACGAGAAGAAAGAAGAAGGAACCUGAUUCGGACUAGUUUUCUGUUCCUGUUUUUUUUUUUUUUUUUUUUUUAAAUUUUGCAAAUAAAAAUUUAUUUUGAAUCCUUU
rnacentral:sRNA from 1 species